GACGAACGCUGGCGGCGUGCCUAAUACAUGCAAGUCGAGCGAAGCGGCGGAUGGGUGAGUAACGCGUGGGUAACCUGCCCUUACGUCUGGGAUACCCUUUGGAAACAGAUGCUACUCCCGGAUACUCACGUAUGGCCCUGCGAUGCAUUAGCUAGUUGGUAAGGUAACGGCUUACCACGGCGAUGAUGCAUAGGCGAGGUGAGAGACUGAUCGGCCACAGUGGGACUGAGACACGGCCCAAACUCCUACGGGAGGCAGCAGGAGGGAAGCGUCCACAAUGGACGAAAGGCGGAUGGAGCAACGCCGCGUGAGUGAAGAAGGUUGUCGGAGCGUAAAGCUCUGUUGUUGGUGAAGCGGUAAUCAACCAGAAAGUCACGGCUAACUACGUGCCAGCAGCCGCGGUAAUAC
rnacentral:rRNA from 1 species